UGGGGAAUAUUGGACAAUGGGCGAAAGCCUGAUCCAGCCAUGCCGCGUGUGUGAAGAAGGUCUUCGGAUUGUAAAGCACUUUAAGUUGGGAGGAAGGGCAGUAAGCGAAUACCUUGCUGUUUUGACGUUACCGACAGAAUAAGCACCGGCUAACUCUGUGCCAGCAGCCGCGGUAAUAAAGAGGGUGCAAGCGUUAAUCGGAAUUACUGGGCGUAAAGCGCGCGUAGGUGGUUCGUUAAGUUGAAUGUGAAAGCCCCGGGCUUAACCUUGGAACUGCCUCCAAAACUGGCGAGCUAGAGUAGGGCAGAGGGUGGUGGAAUUUCCUGUGUAGCGGUGAAAUGCGUAGAUAUAGGAAGUAACACCAGUGGCGAAGGCGACCACCUGGGAUCAUACUGACACUUAGGUGCGAAAGCGUGGGGAGCAAACAGG
rnacentral:rRNA from 1 species